rnacentral:rRNA from 1 species
UACAGGGGGUGCAAACGUUGCUCGGAAUCAUUGGGCGUAAAGCGCACGUAGGCGGUUCGUUAUGUCGGAUGUGAAAGCCCUUGGCUUAACCGAGGAAGCGCAUCCGAAACUGGCGAGCUAGAGUACGAAAGAGGAUCGCGGAAUUCCCGGUGUAGAGGUGAAAUGCGCAGAUAUCAGGAAGAACACCCGUGGCUAAGGCGGCUCUCUAGUACGGUACUGACGCUGAGACGCGAAAGCGUGGGGAGCGAACAGG